ensembl:lncRNA
CACACAAUGCCGUCCUGCCGCAUGCUCUGAUUUAACUACUGUAAGGAAGAAUAGACUUGGGGGGGCUCGGUGCGAUAGAGAAAGGAGAGGCUACAGCAGCUGUUUGCUUUCCGGCUCUGAGCUCUGCACCCACGAUGGCCUGUGCCGUUUACCCAGCGAGCUCUGCUAGCUGCCUGGCUGGAAUCUGUUCCGGGUUGGGAGUUGUCAUUGGAGAGCACGUUUUAACCCUCUUCCUCGUGGUAAAUGUGGACCGUUUGUUGUUCGGCAUUUGGAUCGGGAACAAGGCCCGUACCACGCACCUCUAAGAACAAAGAUGGUACCUAUUCACCCUGACCCAGACUUCUUCGACCCCAGCAAGAUGGAAAGUUGGCAUCAGAGGAGCGGAGAGACUCACGUCAUUCUAAGAGUCAGUACUGACUGCUUAAUGCUCCCGCGAGUUCCUCCAGAAGCAACACCCAAGCACGCAAGUGUUGGAUUUUGUCCAAGAGACCAUGUAAUUUAUGAAGGAAGUGUACGUCAUUCACAUUUUCCAGAAAAGAGGACAAAAAACAGGAAGAUUAGCCCUAAGCUAACACCUGCUGCCAAUCCUCCUCUUUUUGCUGAAGAAGACUGGCCCUGAGCUAACAUACGUGCCCAUCUUCCUCUACUUUAUAUGUGGGACGCUUGCCACAGCGUGGCUUGACAAGGUCCGCACGUGGAUCCGAACUGGCGAACCCCGGGCCGCUGAGAAGCGGGAACAUGCGAACUUAACCACUGCGCCACCAAGCUGACCCCUAAAAAAAAUGACAUAUUUUAUGUCACCCUGCAGCUUCAUGAUGUCAUUGUCGUAAAGUGCCUAAAUAUAUCAUUGCUUGUGCAAAAUUAUGGUUGUUAGUUUCUCUUAUCUUUUUUGUAAACAUUUCCCUUAUUAUUUCCCAUGCUAGUUGAGACCAAAAAGACCAUAUAUCUCUUGAAAUGUUAACAUUUAAAAAUAAAAUCCAAGACAUAAUCAUUGUGCACAAAAGGCCAUUAUCGCUCCAAAGUAAAUUGCAAAUGACACUACAGAGGCUCUCACUUUAAGCAAGGUAUACUAAUAAUAACACAGUACUGUGAACACCUGUUUCCUAAUGAGAAUACCCACAAAACAUGGAGAAACAAUUUCAUAUAAAUGUCAAGUGUAAAUUGAAUGUGAUCAUGAAACAACUCAAAUUAUUAUAAGGAAAAUGAUCUUAAGUGACUAAGUAAAUAUUUUCCAUGAAGAUCAUAUGCAAAGAUUUAAAAUAAAACAUAAUUUGACAUACAAUUGUCAAAAUAGAAUUUUUUUAACUUCUUACCUGAGGUAACAAAUGGCAAUGCACACAGACACAUAGCAAACAUAUAAACAAACAAACAAAAAUAGAGUGCAUUUAAGUAAUGAAAGGAUGAUAACCUGUUUUCAUUAAUCAGACUAAAAUUUCAAAAAUGACUUCACAUUCCCACUGUACUGUUUUUAAAAACCAUUCUCUGCUUCAUUCCAUUUUCUAAAUCUAUAAAUCUGCUUUUUUGGGGGAAUCUCUGUAGGUACUUUUAGAUUUUUAUCAAGUAUAUUUUAUAGUUUCAGAAGGAUUAAGAACAAUCUAAAUAUAGACAAGGAGAAAUAGAUAACAUGAAUAUCUAUAUUUCUGUAUUCUAAAUUUCUAUAUUUAUAUCUAUAAAUGAAUUGAAUUAAUAAUUAAUAACUUUUCCCCAAAGAAAUCACCAGAGUCAAAUGGUUUCACAAGUGAUUUUUAUCAAAUAUUUAAGGAAGAAAUGAUAUCAAUUCUCCACAAUCUCUCCCAAAAACUAAAAGCAAUGAAUGCCACCUAACUCAUUCAAUGAGGUCAGAAUUACUCAAAUGCCAAAACUAGAUACAGGAAAGGAAAAUUACAGACCUGUAAUCUCUCAUGAACAUAAACAAAAAAAACUCAGUAAAAUAAUUAAAAGUCAAAUUCAACAAUGUAUAAAAAGAAUAAUACACUAUGACCAACUGGUGUUUAUUCCAUGUAUGCAAGGCUAGUUCAACAUUUGAAAACUCAAUCAGUGUAACACAGCAUAUCAACAGACCAAAGAAGGAAAAUCAUAUGAUUAUAUUAAUUGACAUGGAAGACAGGAUUUGACAAAAUGCAAGACUCAGUCAUGAUAAAAAUACUCAGCAAACUAGGAAUAGAGGGGAACUUCUCCAAAGUGACAAAGAACAUCUACA